rnacentral:rRNA from 1 species
GGCGAGUGAAGCGGCAAAAGCUCAAAUUUGAAAUCUGGCACCUUCGGUGUCCGAGUUGUAAUUUGAAGAAGGUAACUUUGGAGUUGGCUCUUGUCUAUGUUCCUUGGAACAGGACGUCACAGAGGGUGAGAAUCCCGUGCGAUGAGAUGCCCAAUUCUAUGUAAAGUGCUUUCGAAGAGUCGAGUUGUUUGGGAAUGCAGCUCUAAGUGGGUGGUAAAUUCCAUCUAAAGCUAAAUAUUGGCGAGAGACCGAUAGCGAACAAGUACAGUGAUGGAAAGAUGAAAAGAACUUUGAAAAGAGAGUGAAAAAGUACGUGAAAUUGUUGAAAGGGAAGGGCUUGAGAUCAGACUUGGUAUUUUGCAAGCCUUACCUUCGUGGUGGGGUCCCCUGCAGUUUACUGGGCCAGCAUCGGUUUGGAUGGUAGGAUAAUGACUUGGGAAUGUGACUUUGCUUCGGUAAAGUGUUAUAGCCCUUGUUGAUACUGCCUGUCUAGACCGAGGACUGCGUCUUUGACUAGGAUGCUGGCAUAAUGAUCUUAAGUCGCCCGUCUUGA